rnacentral:tRNA from 1 species
GGCCCAGUAGUUCAGUCGGUUAGAACGCCAGCCUGUCACGCUGGAGGUCGACGGUUCGAGCCCGUUCUGGGUCGCCA